AAAGCCGCGAACGGGUGAGUAACACGUGGGUAACCUGCCCCAAAGAUCGGGACAACCCGGGGAAACCCGAGCUAAUACCGGAUGUGCCCUCCUCGCAUCAGCGAGGCGGGGAAAGGAAGCUUCGGCCUCCGCUUUGGGAUGGGCCCGCGGCCCAUUAGCUUGUUGGUGAGGUAACGGCUCACCAAGGCUGCGAUGGGUAGCUGGUCUGAGAGGACGAUCAGCCACACUGGGACUGAGACACGGCCCAGAUCCUACGGGAGGCAGCAGUGGGGAUCUUGCGCAAUGCGCGACAGCGUGACGCAGCAACGCCGCGUGGGGGAAGAAGGCUUUCGGGUUGUAAACCCCUUUCAGGAGGGACGGAAGCCCGGGCGGUGAAUAGCCG
rnacentral:rRNA from 1 species